UACGUAGGGUGCAAGCGUUAAUCGGAAUUACUGGGCGUAAAGCGUGCGCAGGCGGUUUGUUAAGUCCGUUGUGAAAGCCCCGAGCUCAACUUGGGAAUUGCAGUGGAUACUGGCAGGCUGGAGUACGGUAGAGGAAGGUGGAAUUCCCGGUGUAGCAGUGAAAUUCGUAGAUAUUGGGAAGAACACCGGUGGCGAAGGCGGCUCACUGGCUCGUUUCUGACGCUCAGGCGCGACAGCGUGGGGAUCAAACAGG
rnacentral:rRNA from 1 species